rnacentral:rRNA from 1 species
UUGAACGCUGGCGGCAUGCCUUACACAUGCAAGUCGAACGUUAGAGGGGCAACCCUUGAGAGUGGCGAACGGGUGAGUAAUAUAUCGGAACGUGCCCAGUCGUGGGGGAUAACGCAGCGAAAGCUGCGCUAAUACCGCAUACGAUCUAAGGAUGAAAGCGGGGGAUCGCAAGACCUCGCGCGAUUGGAGCGGCCGAUAUCAGAUUAGGUAGUUGGUGGGGUAAAAGCCCCACCAAGCCGACGAUCUGUAGCUG